UACGUAGGCAGCGAGCGUUGUUCGGAGUUACUGGGCGUAAAGGGUGUGUAGGCGGUUGUUUUAAGUUUGGUGUGAAAUCUCCCGGCUCAACUGGGAGGGUGCGCCGAAUACUGAAUGACUUGGAGUGCGGGAGAGGAGAGUGGAAUUCCUGGUGUAGCGAUGAAAUGCGUAGAUAUCAGGAGGAACACCGGUGGUGUAGACGGCUCUCUGGGCCGUAACUGACGCUGAGGAGCGAAAGCAUGGGGGAGUGAACAGG
rnacentral:rRNA from 1 species